CGCUCCCCCCCCCCAUCCCUCACGGGGGCAGGGCUGGGGGACUUUCUGUUCUGCGGAGGAACACACACGUAAAAGCAGAGCCCCCGGUCGGCCACCUGUCCGCCAGGGCGGGAUGCGGAGGAAUUGAUUUCUUGGCCCCCCUCCCGGCCCUUCCCCUGUGCGGUCUCCUUUCUGGGCCCCCUCCCCUCGGGCACUAUCCCUCUUCCCCUCUUUCUCUCCCCCGCCCCCGACCAGGAAAGUCCCGGGGGAAAUGGAGAGGCUGAAUCCGGGGCCCCAGCUGCCACCGGCCAGCACCCUCCCGUGCCAGGCCAGUCGCGUUUUAUCCAGCCGCCCCUCCGGGGUGAUUGAGGUCAGACACUGGGCAGAACUUCCCGGCCUGGAAGAAGUGUCGUCGAAGGGCUAAAGAGGCCUUCAAGAUCCCAUCAAGCUGUUAUUGAUCCUAUCGGCAGAGAAGAGGUCAAGAAGGAGAGAUGUGAGCCUGCCCAGUACGCAGAGACUUCAGAAUUCAGAGAUUGGUUGUUACUAGAGAGAUUUCAGGAGACCUUGAAUGGCAAAGCGAAAUUCCAGCCUUAUUUUCUCUUUUAAUGGAAACGUAGAAUGUCUUCAUUGAUUCAAUUAAAUAUCGAGAUUCUGAAAAGGG